UACGUAGGCAGCGAGCGUUGUUCGGAGUUACUGGGCGUAAAGAGUGCGUAGGCGGUUUUCUAAGUUUGGGGUGAAAUCUCCCGGCUUAACUGGGAGGGUGCGCCGAAAACUGGAAGGCUUGAGUAUGGGAGAGGUAAGCGGAAUUCCUGGUGUAGCGGUGAAAUGCGUAGAUAUCAGGAGGAACACCUGCGGUGUAGACGGCUUACUGGACCAUAACUGACGCUGAGGCACGAAAGCGUGGGUAGCAAACAGG
rnacentral:rRNA from 1 species